GGUUGUGGCUCAGUGGCAGAGUACUUGCCUAGCAUGUGUGAGGCACUGGGUUCAAUUCUCAGAACCA
rnacentral:tRNA from 1 species